GACGAACGCUGGCGGCGUGCUUAACACAUGCAAGUCGAACGGAAAGGCCCUUUUGGGGGUCCUCGAGUGGCGAACGGGGGAGUAACACGGGAGAAACCAGCCCUUGCUAUCGGGUCAACGUGAGGAAAGUGGGGAUAAUACCGGAAAUACAUCAUAGCAGCUAGGUGGGGGUUGGGAAGCUUUUGGGGCUUUGGAUGUUCUCGCGGCUUAUUGGCUUGUUGGCGGGGUGGUGGGUUACCAAGGCACUGAGGGGUAGCUGGCCAGUGAGGGUGACAGGCGGCAUUGAGACUUAGAGGCGGCACAGACGCCGACGGGUGGCAGAAGGGGGGAAGAUUGCACAAGGGGCGGAAGCCGGAUGCAGCAGCGCCUCGGGCGGGAUGGCGGCCUUGGGGUUGUAAACCGCUUUCAGCAGGGGCGAAGCUUGUUGUGACGGUACCUGCAGAAGAAGCACCGGCUAACUACGUG
rnacentral:rRNA from 1 species